GCCCGGAUGGCCUAGAGGAUUAAGGCUUCUGACUCCUAAUCAGAGGAUCCCGGGUUCGAGUCCCGGUUCGGGUG